GUGAGGACCUUUGCGAGAGAGACCGGCUGAGCCAGAGGCGCGCUCCGAGAGCCGCCGCUAUCAGCAGCAAUUAGCCUCUCCCUGCAGACCCCCCCCUCCCCCCCCCCAGCAAACCCAGCCGGGCGCUGCCAGGAGGAAGGUGCAUCCCUCUCCAAGGUCAAAGUGUGUUGGAGAAGCGUGAUGGCUGCCAAAGCACCUUAGAGCUGUACUGCAUUACUGCUUAAUUCAACUGUGGAUAUUUCGCUGGGACCUGGGAUAGGAGAAACUGGGAAUGAAUAAAGACAUCAAGCAUCAUCAUUUGGAUUUACACAUCAGUUAAUGAACUGGUAGAAGUAGUGGAUGUGGCUUUUAAAUCAGAAAAUGUGCAGAAGAUGCUGAUGAAAAUGUUUUGGAGUAGAUCACUUUUUGACACUGAGGUUCUACCAGAUAAAAUAAGGUGCAGCAAAAUUAAUUCUCUGCCAUGCAGUCGGAUGUAGAUGUUUGAUAGUACAUUUCAAAGGCAAUAGCUGGAUUUUGAGCACCAGGAUUGUUGAAUAAAACAGUUCUGUGGAUGAACGCCCAGCAAUCUAUGGUUGGAUCAACUUUUUCAUGAAUAGUAACGGUUCAGUGGUGAUUCAGCUGUUGUAACUAGAAACCAGAGAUUUUCCUCUUCUGCUAAAACUGCUCCUGAAACAAAGCUGUUACAUGCUCUCUGAAUGUGGAGGAGACACUCCUAUCGGUCUUUAGGAAGUACACUGGUCGAAAGGAGACCUCUAAGAAUAUUCUGUGCUCUGAGGUAUGAAUCAUGUCAGUACAGUGAAAGAUGAAGAUAUGCAUUUCUGAAGUAGGAGUAUGCGUAUGAUUAAAGGAUUUGAGCAGAGGACUCUGAACUGUAGUUCCUUCCUGCUCCAGGAGGGAUACCUGAGGUACCAAAGCUCUGAAGAACAGCAGUGAGGAACUCAAAGAUAGCUGCUCUGUCUCAGAGCCUUCCAUCAAAAGACAACAUUCUCCCCAAAGAAAGGAUUGAUUCUUUUUGAAGGUAAUGUCUUCAUUCUGCUAUCAAACAUCAUUAAGGGCAACGGUAACAUCAUCGGUCUCAGCAGCAGCAUUAGAUUAACACAGUGAUUGGCAGCCUACAAAUGCCAGGCACUUGGAAGCAGCACACCACAUCUUUUCCAUGCUCUGCUCUUGCCUGUCAAGGAUCCCUGGCAAGCUAAGCCUCUAUCUUAAAUGAAAAAUAAACCCAGUGACUUGUGCUGAAGUCCAGUGAAGUACUCUGACAUUGUCUUCUUCCUUGGACCUCCAAGGGCUUAGAGCUGCGCUGUUCGGAAGAAGCGAGAUUGUCUUCCCUUACAGCUACGAUGCUGCAUCGCUCUCGGCGUAUCCUGCUUUUUCCCCAUUUACCUGGGCGGCUGCUGCUGCUGUUUCUGCUGCUGUUACUGGGGCUGCUGCAGUCUCACUGCCUGUGCUUCACCCUGGCAUGUCUGAUUUGAGACUCACUCGUCUGCACACUGCUAAGGAAGAGCAGCGAUGGAACUCUGUGCGCAUUUUUUUCCUAUUGCUGCUGGAAAAGAAGGGUUGCAAUGUAGGGUGUUUUUCUGGGGGUUGAGGUGGGCUGUUAAUCUAAGGUGGGAUGGGAGAAAGUUUAAGGAAAUAUGACGCAAAGUAAUUCAGUACACAACAAGGGCAUCAGCAGCAAGAAUCCAGCCUUUGUGGCUCAAAAGGAUUAACGUGGGAGAAGCCACAGUGAUGCAGUAGUGCUUCACCUCAGCAUUGUGCUGGAGAUGGAUAAAUAAAAGGUAUCUGUUGUGUCCGCCUGUGAGGGUAAAGCCUUGGAAAGAAGCGAGCCAGCCAGCGAGAGAGCAAGUGAACAGAAAGAAGAAAUGCUGUAUGCUGUUUGUCUGAUUCUGUGCAUUCUCAUUCUAGAGAUGGCAUAAUUUGCAAAAUAAUAUAUGGAUGGAGGGACUGUAAAUUGUAGCCUGAACACUCCUGAUGCUGUCAAGGAGGACUGAUGAGCUAGGUGACUGUACCGAUGUCCCCAGGGAAAAGAGCGGCCAUGCAGUAUAUAUUUAUAUAUAUAUAUAUAUGUGUGUGUGUGUCUAUGUGAGUGUGUGCAUAUGUAGUCAUGAAAAAAGACAUUUCUGACCAAUUUACACAGGAAGUUUGUCACUUUGCUGGAUCAGACUUGAUUGCAGCUUAUAUUUUCAGCUACAGCUCUCCACCCAUUUCCUGAAUAAGAAGGCACUUUAUGAAAACAGAUGUAUGCAGAAUUCUUUGUACGAAAUGUGAAAGCAGCUCCUUUCAAUUUAACACCUUGAAGCACUGCAUCUUCUGCAUUGUGGCAAGAGGAACUGUGGGUUUUUUGUUUUCUUCAUCUUAAAAUCUUUAUAAACACAGCUGUAUUCAGUAUGGUGAAAAAUUCUAUAUUGUAAAUAGAAAUGUGAUCAAUCUAAUCAAAAUAAAUGUAUCCCAGAUGAUUUCUGGACCAGCUGGCUACCACAGACUUCAGAUGGCUAAAUGCUCAACUGAGAUGAAUUCAGCAUUAUAUUUACAUUUUUUAGAAUUUCAAAAUCAGCCUAUAAUUACAAAAAGAGAUUCUUGGUCUAGUGAAAAGAGGCAAUGCUCACAGUUUGGCAGUGAAUUGCUCUGAAAUGCAUGCUGAUAUUUUUCAUUUCUGGAUGGACAUUUGAGAGAUUGUGUUUUUAGAACAGAUGGACUUGUCAUAAUACAGACAGACUUAGUAUGGUAAAAAGCAGUAGACAGCUCAGGUUGGCCAUAUCUGAGUAAUGUGCAAAAUGAAGUUAAGGGAAACAAAUGCUGCUCUCAGCUAGUGAGGAGUUGGGAUGAUUUUUAGCAGCUGCCUACUAUGAGGAGGAGUUAUUUCGCUUUUGUUUUUUGUUUGCUUUUUCUUUUUAUACAUUAAUCCAGACCAUGAAGUCAUUCUCAAAUACGUAUGAGGGAAUUUCCCAAUAGUCAUGGUGAGCUACCCUGCAAGACGCCUGUCUGGCCCUUCCACUAUUUGUUACCAGUCCUACAAAGGCAGGCCUGUGUGUUGGAUUAUAUUUAGCCGGCUGUUGGAUAACAUUCCUGUGCGGGGGUACAGGAGUCUUAUUACUCCCAAACUGUAGUUUUGUUUGUUUAAAGAAAAAUAGCCUUGGAAAAUGCAUUGAGUUCUGCAAAGGAGUUGCACCUUGACUCUCCAUUUCUUGAAUGCUGUGUUUCCAACUCAGAGACUUUAAAGCAAACAAGGAAGAAGAAGACAGACUCUAGCUCAUAGCUUCAAAGCUGCAGAGACAAGCAAAAUGUCAGCAGCUUGUAAUUAGCAGUUCAUGGUUACGUCAGCGACUGUAUCUCUCCAAGAAUAACUAUGUGAUGUAUGCCACAAAAUAAGGAGAUAGUCAUAACCUAGUUAUCAAGCCUGGUUCAAAUGAGAGCAAACGGAUUAAUUAAUCUUCUGUGUUCAUAAAUCAAACAUGGAUGGAUUACAUGCAAAAGACUUGCUGAAUUCUGCAUAAUUGAAGGGUAAAUUAUCAACUUGUCAGAGGGCACAUAGUCACUAAGCGAAAGUGUGAACCCUUUUAAAAAUGCAGAUGAACUAUCCAAGAAAAUGCCUUUCAUGGCUCCCUCUGGUAUGAGCAGCUAGCAGUAUGACUCUGAAGCAUGCUGGAAAGGGCAAAAAAUGGCAAGAGACAGUGAGGUGUUUAAAAGGAAGGAAAAUGCAAAGGAAAGUAUGGUGAAAUUCUGUGUUGGCAUUAAUGAUGUGAUUCUCAAAUACCACUCGAAAAGGAUUAGGGUGGCCUGAUGUGGUUUACGUUCAGCUGCUGUGUAAGAUGGCAAAAAAAAGCAAUGACCUUUGUGAAGCUCAGUGCAAAAUCUUGAAGCCAAACAUGAAUGGCUCUUUGGGAACACUACAGAGUACCAGGGAUGCUUGCUCUUAAAGGAACAUGCCCAGGCCAUUUUAGGAUAUUUUUGUACUCUGUGCUCAUUUUAGAUCUCCACUGCUAACACAGCAGCAUUUAAGCAAUGAUUGUGGGGGGUACUUAAUCUGCUCUGAUUGACCUUUUUCACAUUCUUGCUGUAAAAUGUUUACAUGGCUUUUAUCAAUGCCCUUUUGCAAUAUUCAGUUUUCAUUUCUGCUUCCGUUCAGGUUGUUCGCUUAGUUUCCAUAUCCCCAGCAGAAGUCAGUCUCAGUUCAGCUCUGUUUGUUUACCUCCUGAAGACACUGGGGCAGCUAGAUUUUUGUAUUGCACAAACACAGGUUUUUUUGACCGUGAACACAAAUUUGGAGGAGGAGAUGACUGUAUAUUAAACCAAUAGCUCUUUGAAUUGCAUGUAAUAUAAUUUAAACAUAUGUACUUUAAUUAAUAGAAGGUCACAAAAGCUGGCAUUGUCUGAGCCCAUUUUAAUUUACAUCUUAGACUUAGUCAAUGAGCAUAACCUGCCUGGUCAGAAUAGUGUAUUCUGUACACUCAACAGGGUGGAAGACAUUAUUUUGUUUGUGUUAGUUCAAACAGCUGGUCAUUAAUGCAGGACCCAUCUCCAGAGUGAAGUGCUAGUGGACAUGAAUGGCUGCCUGAUUAAUGCUGCCCCUCGAAGGGUCCUUCAUCCAGCAGUGAUGCUUGCAGCAGAAUAAUGCAGCAUGAUUUGAUUGCGCUCUAACAGGGUAGUAUGUCAUUGUGUCACCCAGCAAUUGAGGUUAUUAUGGGGCAGGGCAGACAGACGGGACAGUGGGGUUACUAGACCGUAGCAUUUUUAGAAAUACAGGCCUGACCUACUUAAGAGUUAUUCUUGCUGGCUGGCAGCUGCCUGGUGCAUGGAGUGUCCUGAUAGGCCGAGGCUGUUGCUAGGGGGAAUUAGCAUGAAUUUUUCCACAUGCAGACUUGGUGAUUGAAUGAUAAAAGCUGACUGGAAUUAGAGAUUCAGUUCAGUAUUAUGCAGAUUUAUCUCCCCCUUUUUUUUUUCUCACUCCCAAGUGCAGCAAAAGGACCAAAAGAUAGUUUGUUUCUGUUUAUUCUUUGACCCAUUUUUUUCCAAGGGAGUAGAAGUGUUAUAAAAUUUUGAUCAUCAUUUGCUAUUUUAAUUACUGAACUGAUGCCGCAAAGGGUAUUUUGAGGCAUGCAGCUUUAAUGUUCUGUAUAUUUAAACGCUGUCCUCCUUAGAAAAGAGCAGUCCGUUUAUAUAACCAGUGUUGCAUCCACACUACUGCCUUGGUUCAAACAAACUGCCAAGGAUUCCCAGACUGGAACCGGGGAGAUAUACCAGGUUUUAUUGCGUAACAUUAUUCGUGACUAUUUUUGGCUGCGCAUGCUUCACAAAAUUAGGCUGAUGUUUAUGUUUGUGGAUGAAAUUCAUUUCCCCACUCUCUGUCUCCCAUAUGUACAGAAACACGCCCUGGGUUUCCUUUUACAGAGGAGUGUGUUGUGUGCAGUGCUUAUCUGGAAAACUGUUUGACUGCUUCUGACAUCUCUGUAUAUCAUAUUCAGUGUAUAGGUUAUGUCUAGCCUGUGAUUAGUUUGAUAAGAUAACUGCUUCUGGAUUUCCAUGUGUUUUUUCCAUAUUCAGUGUGGAACUGGAUUUGCUCAGUAGUUCCCUCUUCCUUUUUUUUCCCUUUUUUUUUUUAAUCCCCAUCCUCUUAAAUCAGUACUGUGUUAUUAGAGAACUCUACACUCCCUCGGGAGGCAAAUAAAAACAAUGCUCAAACAAGAAUUCUUUGAUGUCAUUAUGAAUAUUUCCUUUGUUAUUAUCUCUAAUUACAGAAGAUCUUUGUUUAAACCACAAUUUUCCUUUCAUGUGAUUUGCUUUCCAUGCAAAGAAGUUACAGUUUUGUGCUUGUAAUUGUAAAUGGAUUUUCAUGGCAAUGCAUUAUGAUGUCACAAGAAAAGAAUUAUGACUUAUCUAAAUAGGAGGGAGGAUAUGAAUGGGAGGGGAGCGUGACUCAAAAAUGUUUGUUUUUUUAAUUUGCAAAAUAAAAAUAUGGCUGCAUGGUG